rnacentral:RNase_P_RNA from 1 species
CGAGCCGGCCGGGCGGUCGCGUCGUCGCAGCUCGCUGCGGCGCCGAGGAAAGUCCGGACUCCACAGGGCAGGGUGGUGGCCAACAGCCACCCGGGGCGACCCGCGGGACAGUGCCACAGAGAACAGACCGCCGGCACGCGCGCUCUCGGGCGUGCGGCGCCGGUAAGGGUGAAACGGUGGUGUAAGAGACCACCAGCGUCCGGGGUGACCCGGACGGCUCGGCAAACCCCACCCGGAGCAAGGCCAGACAGGGAGCGAUCGGCGGCUGCUCGCAGCUGCCGGGGAGGGCUGCCCGCCCGAGCUCCCGGGUAGGCCGCUCGAGGCUGUCGGCAACGGCAGCCCUAGAUGGAUGGCCGCCGGGACCGCUCUCGCGGUCCUACAGGAUCCGGCUUACAGGCCGGCUCGUCCC